GGGCUGGUAGUAGAAUGGUUAAUACGCUCCGUUCGCAACGGAGAGACUCCGGGUUCGAUACAAAAAGCGAAUAUCCCGGCCAGUCCA
rnacentral:tRNA from 1 species